UACGGAAGGUAGCAGUGGGGAAUAUUGGACAAUGGGCGAAAGCCUGAUCCAGCCAUGCCGCAUGAGUGAAGAAGGCCUUCGGGUUGUAAAGCUCUUUUAGUGAGAAAGAUAAUGACGGUACUCACAGAAGAAGUCCUGGCUAACUCCGUGCCAGCAGCCGCGGUAAUACGGAGAGGGCUAGCGUUAUUCGGAAUUAUUGGGCGUAAAGAGCGCGUAGGCUGAUUAGUAAGUUAAAAGUGAAAUCCCAAAGCUUAACUUUGGAAUUGCUUUUUAAAACUGCUAGUCUAGAGAUUGAAAGAGGAUAGAGGAAUUCCUAGUGUAGAGGUGAAAUUCGUAAAUAUUAGGAGGAACACCAGUGGCGAAGGCGUCUAUCUGGUUCAAAUCUGACGCUGAGGCGCGAAGGGCGUGGGGAGCAAACAGGGAUUAGAUACC
rnacentral:rRNA from 1 species